AGGGAGACUUUACCGCUCUACCGGUUUAGCAGACAUACUGGAAGUCUGUCGAUCAGCUAACUAGAGGAUACUUUCUUGUCCUGGCUUGUUUUGGAGCUGGUACAAGGGCUGAUAGUCUUAACCCUGUUUAAUUUAUGUAGCUCCAGAAAGAAAGGUUGUCAGGGCCUAUAAAAUGAAGAAAAAGAAAAGCAAAGAGAUUGGGGACAUGUCUAAACCUCCUCCAGCGGCACUGUCACCCUGCUCAUCAGGACCAUAAGCCCUAGCUCCGAUCAAAUGAAUCAGAACCUUUAGAACUGAGGCAAGAUUUUUAGAAAACAGGACUACAGCAUCUACUGAAGACUUUCAAGCAGAGGAGUGAUGUGAUCAGAUCUGCGUGUCAGCAAGACCACCCUGACAGCGCUUAGAGGUGAGUUUGGUGAAAGGUA
rnacentral:lncRNA from 1 species